rnacentral:lncRNA from 1 species
GUUCCUGCUCAGAGUACACUAACCGCUCCGGAGUAGAGAUUAAAACUAACAUCUGUAUAUCUUACUCGCUGUCCUUUUGGAAGCUGUAAGUAAAGCUGGGUGCCAGUUUGGUCCCACACGUUCCCUAGGGUCUGCCAGUUGAGGCACGAUCGCUUCCGGAUUCCUUCCGGCCGGCCUCUGCACCGGAAGGGAAAGCCAGGAACUGCAAGGGUCUUUGAGUCCACUGAUUGGUCCAGCGGCCAGGCUGACCUAAUCUGCUGUCUCCAGACUCGCCUGUGGUCUAGAUUUGUUCUGAGUCUAUUCCUGUAGGCCUGGUUCCCUCGAAUGCCCUGAUUCGACACUCUGCAAAGGCAUUGAAUGGGGUCUGGCUGGCAGGCUUGUGACCACAGCAUCCUUCUACCCCAUCAGCACCAGCCUGAGAGAGCCUGGGUGACAGGGAGGAGAAGCCUGUGACACCAGCAGAAGCUCGUGUUUCCAGUCACAAGAUCCCCAGAAGCCUGGCUCUGCAGGAUCUGCCAGGGCUGUGGUUGCUGCAGAUGCAACCUUGACUCUGCAGCCUUUCUCAGGAGCACCUCCCUGGCGGACACCCCGGGGUCGGCUGGUCCACGUCAACAGAGACAGCUUUCCGCCCUAGGUUUUUCCCCAGGGCACCAAAUUAGGGCCUCAAGACUGAGAGAGGGAACACCAUGUGAAGACACAGACACGCAGAGGGAUGAUGGCCAUGUGAAGAGAGAGGCAGACUGGAGUGAUGUGGCCACAAGCCAAGGAACACCUGGUGCUACCAGAAGCUGGAAGAGGCCAGGAAGGAUCCUCCAUAGAUUAGGAGGGAGUAUGGACCUGCCAACAUCUUGCUUUUGGAUUUCUAGCCUCCAGAACUGUGAGAGAACAAAUUGCUGUUUUAUACCACCCAGAUUGCGGUACUUCGCUAUAGC